ensembl:lncRNA
AGCCACCUCACCACCCCACUUUCCAGUCUUGGUGAAGAGAGGAAAUGCUCACCUAGGGUUCCAUCUGCCCAGGCUCCGCCCACGCCUUCUUUUUGGGGUGCCGCCCCUCCCAACUCCCUCUCAUGCUGUUUUCAAGCUGGAAUGCAGGAAGGGCCCUUGCCUGGUGAUGGGAUGCAAGACGUGGCUCCAGAGAUCUCCUUGGCUGUGUCCCCGCCUGUGGGGUACUCCGUCUGCAAGGAGAGGGCGUGAGCACAGGCUGCACAGAGUCCUGUGGUGUCAGGUUUUCUGCUUCCAGUUUCCGGAUCCAGCGGCAUCCCAGCCCUGCUUGCUGUUUGCUUGUUCAUUCCUUUUUAUGUUGGCCUCGGUGGACACGGCGGGUUUCUGCCUCCGGCCAGAGAAGAAGGAGGGGGGGGAGGAGGAGGGAGAGAGAGUCCGAGGAUGAGGCUGCUGCCGAGGCCGCAGCUGUGUCGUGUGGUGGAUGGCUGAGCUGAGCUGACCACUCCACAGCCAUCCUUGCUCGUCUUUUCUUCUGGCGGAACCUGCGCCCCAGGCUUCAUGCAGAGAACGAACCGGGCCGAUGAGACGAAAGGGAGGGUGCUGGAGGCGGCGGCUGCCAGGGGGAGUUUCCCUUAUUAUUCCAAGGGGACCUGUGACAGGGGCUGUGAGGACAUAGCUCGGUGUCCCCAGGUAUCCGUUUGACCCUUUCUCCACGUAGGAGGAGUUUUUAGUUGGGCACCUGGCUGUGCAGCCAAGGACUGUGCUUCCCAGCCUCCCUUGCAGCUAAGUGUGGCCACGCAGCCAAGUUCUACCCACUGGUGUGAGUGGAAGUGACGUGUACAACUUCUGGGGCCGAGUCUGAAGGCCGAGGGGCGUGUCCUCCCUCCCCCCUUCCUGACGACUAGAAUACUUACUCGUGAUGAGGCAUCUCCAUCCUUGCAGAUCUUGCUGCGCUGUCUGGAACUGUGGCAGCCAUCUUGCGACCAUGAGGGGAAAGUCAAGACCGAAGUUGAGAAGCCAACUGAGAAGUCACUUCCGUGGAGCUGCUGAAUCUGCCAACUCUGCAACCACUCAUUUCAGACAUCCUGUUAGACGAGAUAAAUUUUUUAUUAUUCAAGCUCUUUGCAUUGGUCUUUCUAUCUCAUGCCAACGGAGGUACCUGAUGCGGUAUGUGGUGGAGUUGCCUAAAGUCAUACCCUGGCCAGGGACAGUGGAAGGCUCCCAGUGGGGAGAUUUGAGACCCACACCCACGCCGCCAUCAGGAGGUUCUGCCCCUUCCUUCCAGAAGGUGCAAAUCCAGCCCCAGAACUUUCUAGACAAAACAGUUGUCAAGAGUGUUGAUGAAAUGGCCUGUCUGUUUAUCCAUCAAGAAAAAAAAGGGAGCGAGAGAGAUGAAGACACCACAGCUAAGGCGUGUGAUGGCGGGGGUGGCGUUGUGACCUCUGACCAGGAACGCGUGUGCGUCUCUCCCCGACCCCGGGCGGCCUCACCCUGAGCCCUUCCAUUUCUGUCCAUGACUUGGUUUCUGUCCAUGACAGGAGCUCCUGUGCAUUGUUCAGGCUCUCAGCAGGAAACAGAAGUCAUCUCAGCCAGGAACUGGCGGAGGAUUCAGUGAAGGGACUUCCCGGAGGUGUGGCCGCGGCUAAAGGAACGAACGAUGGAGGCACCGCGCACAGGCGACGGCAGGAGACUGAAGGCACCAGGGAAGAGGGCCUCCAAGGGUUGCAGUGUGGGAGAGGGCCGCCCGCUGUCCAGGGAUGCAGCCGAAACCUGGUGGAAAUGCCCUCCCCUCCCCUCCCACUCGCUGAUCUCCUGCCAGCGUCUCCCGUCACCUGAGGGCCACCUCUCA